GAAAGCAGGAUGGCAUCAAAGAAGGGCUUCCUGAAAAGCAUUCUAAAACAACAAGAGAAAGAGGAGGAAAAAGAAGGAAUCAGCUGUCUUGACAACCGUCAAGUGGUUGAGGCUAAGAACCAAGAACUCAUCCUGAGGUUUGCCUAGGAAAUGAACAGGUUUUCAUUAACAUAAAGGAAAUACAGAAUGAGCAUUUAGUCCAGAGCUCCAGAAGGGAAAUACAACAUUUGGAAACACACUGUCCAUGAGCUAAAGGUGAAAGAAGAGGAAGGUGGAGAAGGCAUGAGAAAUAACUUAGCACACAUCCGUGCACGUUUGGAGCCCUCCAGAUUCCACUCGGUCUGUCUUUUCUUGGUGUUCACACGCCUGCUCCAAUCAGCAAGACUGUCUGAACAGAAAUAGCUGGAACAGCAGCACGGAUGGGCUGGGCGUGGAAGCCUUUCAUCCUUACUCCUUUCAUCCUUACGGAUCCUAAACAGCGGAGUCAGAGCGGGAGGGGUAGAAGUAACGAAGCCUGUACCUGGAUAUGCUGGUUAUAUUGGCACAUUCCAGGCUCUUAACCCUUGGCAGCCCAACUGGGAGGUAAAAUGCAGCGUUGGGAGUUUCAAAGAAAGCAUUUGGAGUUAAUUCACACUUGGAUUAGGUAAAAUGCAAACAUUUUAGCUGCAAGACAGAGAGUUUAAGGCUCCAUAGCUUUUGAGUGGAAUAGAUUUACCAUGGCAAUGACAGGGAACGGCUGGGCAGGAAGAGACAUAUCAGUGCCCACAGUGCCCAGAAUGGCUCUGCAUCUUGGUCUUUAUCCAACACUCACAGGUUCCACAGAAGCCUCUUCUGCAAACAAGACGUACAAGCAGAGGUACCACCUCUGGGACCAGCAGAACGAUCCUUUGUGCUUUAAUAAGCAUUGGAAAGACUUCAUCUAGAGAACUGCCUCAGCCUUUGGACACCACUGACCCCAGACAGGAACUAAAAGGAGAGAGAAUUGUUCAGGGAACAGCAGCAGUGACAAGAAAAAACGUGAAAUAAAAUGUUUAAGCAAGGAAGAGGACAUAAAAGAGACCUGAUAAGUAGAUAACUCCUACAUUUAAUCCCUCCUUCACAGAAGGCAGUAUCAGGAAUAAGUGAAGUAAGAGGCUAAUAAAUAGGAAAAAAUAUCUAAUGAUAAGGAUAGUUAAACACAGUCAUCUCCUCUCUGGAAGUUUACAAAGAUGGAUGUCAACACCCACAGGGAGUGGCAGAAGUAUGGUUGAUCCUACUUGGCGCUGAUGAACGAAUCAGACAACCUCAGGGAGCCUGACUCUUGAGACUGUACUUGAAAUACCUACAAACUGGGUGCCUUUGAAUUAACAUCCAGAUGUAUAAAUGUCUCAAUAGCACUGCAACAGACUUCAGGGAUUUGAUUUUGUAGUACAGUUAAGGAAGAAGGGCCAUACCAAGAUAGGGGUUUCUUCAGUUUUUGAGAGAAAUACUUUGUGAAUCUGGGUGCUGAAAUUCUCGGUUGUAGACAUAUAAAUGUAUGAUGGAACUUGGGACUAAGCACAUAUAAAA